rnacentral:lncRNA from 1 species
GUAAAAUAUAAAAUAAAUGCCAAAUUUACUAAAUCAUAAAAUGAACUUAAUCUCAAAAUCAAAAUAUAAAAGUCUUAAAAGUAUUUUCUAAAAUUAAAUUAUGAUUCAGAGAUAAAUUUUGUCUCAACACUGCACAGUCAACUAGUAGACUGGUAAAACAAUCUUUUAGGUCUAGUAUAAUGACAUGAGCAUGACGAGUAGUGUGAGGUUACGCUUCCAGAACACUGACUGCU